rnacentral:rRNA from 1 species
GGUGCUGCAUGGCUGUCGUCAGCUCGUGCCGUGAGGUGUUGGUUAAGUCCCGCAACGAGCGCAACCCUAUUGCCAGUGCUACCAGGUAAUGCUGGGCACUCUGGUGAGACUGCCCGGUUAACGGGGAGGAAGGUGGGGACGACGUCAAGUCAUCAUGGCCCUUACGCCUAGGGCUACACACGUACUACAAUGGCGCAUACAAAGGGCAGCGAUACCGCGAGGUGGAGCCAAUCCCAAAAAGUGCGUCCCAGUCCGGAUUGCAGUCUGCAACUCGACUGCAUGAAGUUGGAAUCGCUAGUAAUUCGAGAUCAGCAUGCUCGGGUGAAUGCGUUCCCGGGCCUU